GCUACAGAAUUAAAAGAUUUCUCCGCUUUUCUCCUUCUUUUUCCCUUGGGUGGUGUGUUCAGCGGUCACCCUCAGGGGAAACAGGUCCCCCCCCCUUGGAGGAAAUGGACUGAUCGGAACCUGGCUGUGACAUCAGCUCAAAAUCCCAACCUCACUUUGCAGUUGAGGCCAACAGCCUUUUGGUGGUUUGUCUGCAACUGAAUCAGAAAAAAACUGUUAUUAGACACCGAAAAAGCAAAGUCUGAAGACUGAUGUCUGGGGAAAUGUCAGCCACCGAGGAGGACAUUCUCAAUGACAAGGAUGAGGAAGGAAAAGGCGAGAAGGAGACCGCAAGAUGGCUGGAUCUCCUCAGCCCUGACUGGGUUCCAAGUAUGUCACCAUUUUCUAGUGUUUCCUCCCUGUCCUCCCUGG